UACGUAGGGUGCAAGCGUUAAUCGGAAUUACUGGGCGUAAAGCGUGCGCAGGCGGUUGUGUAAGACAGAUGUGAAAUCCCCAGGCUCAACCUGGGAACUGCAUUUGUGACUGCACGGCUCGAGUGCGGCAGAGGGGGAUGGAAUUCCGCGUGUAGCAGUGAAAUGCGUAGAUAUGCGGAGGAACACCGAUGGCGAAGGCAAUCCCCUGGGCCUGCACUGACGCUCAUGCACGAAAGCGUGGGGAGCAAACAGG
rnacentral:rRNA from 1 species